rnacentral:lncRNA from 1 species
UAUAAGCAUUACUAAGUCAACAUCAUAUCAAUUCCUAUAGUAGACUUUGUAGAUAGCAUAACAAACUCACUAUAAUUUUUUGACAUACUCUGUUGACUUAGUAUGAGCUAAGUACCAUUAGCUACAUUAUGCACUAAGACAAUAUCAAAUCAGUCUCACAACAAGUCUUGUGGAUAGCACAAUAAGCCUAUUAUGGUUUUUGACAUAAUAUUGGCUUGGCAUUAAGGAAGACAUGGGUAGUGUUCUUAACACUUCGCCAUUAUAACUUAAUAUAAUUUAAAUGAGAGUCUUAGGUCUCAUGUACAUCCUAAACAUAUAUUUAUGCAUCAUAUGCAAUCUAAACUAUAAUUCAAACUACCAGCAUGUAAGAGCAAAUAAAGAAAAACAAACGGUUAUGAACUUUUGAAUGAUCAUCUAAGCCAUAGGAUGAUAAAAGGGUUUAACCCUAAGUGCAUCAUAGAUUGAAUCAUCUUAUGGUCAAUCUUAAUGCGCCUCCGCUCUUAAACACCUAGUAGUGUAGUCUUCAUCUCCAUAAAGUCUACCAUGAAUGCUUGAUCUUUAUUUGAAAAUAGCA